CCCCUGCUCACUUGAGUGAUAGAACCCGUUGACCUAUUAGUUCACCAGUUGGCACCGUUAUGAAUGUGCAGUAAGGAGUCCUCCAAGGGUCUGAUGGAUGUUGGUGAUGACAGCCUUGAUCGGCGAUCUCGUGGCUCAGACGUUCCAUGUGGCCCUCGGCGUUGUUCAGCGCAGCUCUCUUGUUAGAUGUGAUCAGCUUGGCCAUCUCCUGCUGCAUCCUCUCGAUGGAGCGCAUCAUGUCACUGAACAUCUUCUCACACUCCUGCAGUGCUCUCUGGGCUGAAGUCUGCACAGGAAACAUGAAUGUCACUAUUAAUCAACUGGGCGUCACAUCGGUUUCACUUAGCACAAUACGAGACACUGUCAUCGCCCUGACAUGGAGGAAUGCUGUCUGAGCUGGUGGUUACAUUAACUUUCCAUUCAGUCUGAAGUGGUUUGUCUGGUCUUAUCUGUCUGAUGGAUGGUUAGGGGAACAAACCUUGAGUGAAUCCACAGCUUGUUUCAUUUCCUCCAUCUGCUUGAGUCGGUCAUGAAUCUUCUCCUGUAUCUCUGCCUGAGUAACACCCAGACGUUGCUAUGAGGAAAACAACAGAAACAUUGUUGGUAAGAAGAUAAAAAUACCACAAAUAAAUCAAUCCAUCCCUUU